GGGUGUAGCUCAGUGGUAGAGCACUUGCUUAGUAUGUAGGAGACCCGGGGUUCAAUCCCCAGCACAGCCG
rnacentral:tRNA from 1 species